GUGAAUCAUCGAAUCUUGAACGCAAAUUGCACUCACUGGUAUUUCGGAGGGUAUGCCUGUUUGCGGGUCAGUUUAAAUAAAAAUCGGUGUGGUUGCUGCCUUUCGUGGUGACGUACCGGAUUUGGGUCGUCUCGCCUUCAGUUAAGUGACCUAAAAUUUUGCAUGAUUUUUUCGAACGUAUUUAAAUGAUUUUACGUAUGUUUGUGAUAUAGAAUACUAGGUGUGGUCAUCCUCAUGAUUCGUCCCUAUAACUUUUCAUUAAAAUGACCUCAAAUCAGGUAAGAGUACCCGCUGAACUUAA
rnacentral:misc_RNA from 1 species